CUCCUCAGCAGGGCGUGACAGGCAGGAGCACCACAUCUGAGCUGAUUACAGCCCUUCAUAUGGAGCUGGAACCAGGAGGAGGGUGUCAGUUUGUUAGCGCUUCUGAGUGUUACAGACCAACUCAUUGCCUUGCCUUUUGUCUCCUUGUGAACCCGACCUAACUCUUAGUCUUUGUCUCUUACUCCUAGUAUCCUGGACCCAAGCCUAAGACACACCUCGCCAAACCCACAUAACUCUGGAUCCUCAUCUGAGACGCUUCAAGCCAACCAACCGGGAAUUCGUGAAGGACUUCAGAUCAGUCCUCUGCUUAGCCCUCCUGCCUGUCUACCCUUCAACAUAACAGGAGAGAACCAACCGGACCUGUACCUCCAACCUGGACCUCUAAACACCACCCUCCCAUAACAAAACCCAAGCCUCCACCUCACAGAGCCCAGAAACCCCAAUCAGCCAACACCAUUUCCUGUUCAAACCACAAAUUGUCAAUAAACGCUUUAACUAAA